rnacentral:rRNA from 1 species
UACGUAGGCAGCAAGCGUUGUUCGGAGUUACUGGCGUAAAGGGUGUGUAGGCGGUUGUUUAAGUUUGGUGUGAAAUCUCCCGGCUCAACCGGGAGGGUGCGCCGAAUACUGAAUAACUAGAGUGCGGGAGAGGAAAGUGGAAUUCCUGGUGUAGCGGUGAAAUGCGUAGAUAUCAGGAGGAACACCGGUGGUGUAGACGGCUUUCUGGACCGUAACUGACGCUGAGACACGAAAGCGUGGGUAGCAAACAGG